UACGUAGGGUCCGAGCGUUGUCCGGAAUUAUUGGGCGUAAAGGGCUCGUAGGCGGUUUGUCGCGUCGGGAGUGAAAACUCAGGGCUCAACCCUGAGCGUGCUUCCGAUACGGGCAGACUAGAGGUAUGCAGGGGAGAACGGAAUCCUGGUGUAGCGGUGGAAUGCGCAGAUAUCAGGAGGAACACCGGUGGCGAAGGCGGUUCUCUGGGCAUUACCUGACGCUGGAGGAGCGAAAGCCAUGGGGGAGCGAACAGG
rnacentral:rRNA from 1 species